rnacentral:sRNA from 1 species
UAAAAAAUCUCUUUUAAAUGGUGAAAAUAUAUACCUUAAAUUUUUUUUGGUAGAAAAAUAUAUACCUUAAAUUGGAAAUAGGAAACUCAAAUAUAAUACCAUAAACUAAUAUUAAAAGAAAAAUUCUUUCUAAUGCCCUUUUCAUGAUGUCCUUUUUCAACUCUACCCUUUUGUUUUAUCCAUUUUCAUUUCUACCCUCUUUAAUUUUUUAAUGACCAUUUUACCCAUAUUUAGAAAUUAUUUUAGGUUAACAAAAUGAAAUAUUAAUGUUUUUUCGCCUAAAAUAUUCCAAAACAAUCCCGCCAAAAGUUUCCCGCCAAAAUUAAUUUUUCAAAAAAAGAAUUCUCGCAAAAAACAUUACAAGGAAUUUUAAAAGGAAGAUUAACAAGUGAUUUUAAAAGGUUUUUAAAAGAUUUACAAGAGAUUUUAAAAGGGUUAUAAAAGAUUUACAAGGGAUUUUAAAAUGGUUUUAAAAGAUUUACAAGGGAUUUUAAAAGUGUUUUGAAAGAUUUAAAAGAGAUUUUAAAAGAGUUUUAAAAGAUUUACAAGAUUUUUUUAAAGGGUUUAAUUGGAGUUUAAAGGAUGUACAAGGAUUUUAAAAAGAUUUUUGAAAAAUUAACAAAAGACCCUUUAAAAACUCUUGUAAAUCUUUUUAAAACCUUUUAAAAUCCCUUGUAAGUCUUUUAAAACUAUUUUAAAAUCCCUUGUAAAUCUUUUAUAACCCUUUUAAAAUCCCUUGUAAAUCUAUUUCCCGCCAAAAAAAAUUUACAAGAAUUUUUAACAGCAUUGUUUUGGCUGAAAAAAAAAUUGUUACGAAAAAAAAUUUGGCGGAAUUUUUUUUUUGGCGUGAAAAAUAAAUUUUGUCGCCAAAAAUUUGGCGAAAAAUUUUCAGUUUCCAAUUACAUGUUCCAAUUAGAUGAGGGUAAUUUGGUCAUUUUGUUCAAGAGAAGAGAUAUUUUUAAAAAUGAACAACAUAAAAGGGUAUUGUUGGAAAAGGGUAGUAAAAAAAGGGUAGUUUUGCAAAUCUCCCAUAUUAAAAUGAAUCAAAAUUUAUUUUAAAUAGUUAAAAUGUAUACCCUAAAUUAGAAAUAGAUAACCCAAAUAUAAUAUUUUUAAUUUAUUUCUAAUUUAUUUUGGUUGAAUAGAUUUUAUAUAAAACUGUGGUAUUAUUAUGAAUAAUUCACUCUAAUGCCCUUUUCUCAAUGCCCUUUUGCAACUCUACCCUUUUUUUCCCAUUUUCAUUUCUACCCUUUCUAAUACUUUUCUCCCCAAAUUACCCUUAAUGAGCUACCCACAGACCUAAUUCAUUUCUUCACUCUCUCUCUUCUUCCUCCAUCGGAAAUUGUGAAUGUCGUUGAAUCCCAUGCCGUCGGAAAUAGUGAGUUUACUCGCCGUGAAAACCCAUCUUCGCCGUCGUAAGUAGAGCUGUGUGUCGUCGUCGAAUCUCUUGCGUUUCCCAGGUUUGAUUUUAUAAUGUUAGCUUAAAUCUUCGUUUUCGAAUUGGUUUAUUCGAUUUUUGUUGUUGAUUAUGUGAAUUCGUUAUUUUAAAUUCUGAUUCAAUCGACAGUUUGACAUUUGCUUCAGCUUCGAAUUUGAAUUUUGUUUGAGAUUUGAUGAUUGAAUUUGUUUCUAAAAUCCUUGUAAAUUCGUUAUACUGUUCUAAAAUCCUUUUGAAUUCGUUAGACUGUUUCGUGAUAGAUUUGCUUAUGUGAAUUCGUUAUACUAUUUCGUAAUAGAUUUUGGUUCUGAUUUAGUGUUUACCUCUUUUGCAUAUGCUUUCGUGAUAGAUCUAUGCCACUUACGCUUUAAAACGAUUUGUAAACCAUGUUAACUACUUUUCAAAGCUUUUAAAAUCCCUUGUAAAUUAUUUUAUGCUACUUACUUACGCUUUAAAACGAUUUGUAAACCAUGUUAACCACUUUUCAAAGCUUUUAAAAUCCCUUGUAAAUUAUUCUAUGUUACUUACUUACGCUUUAAACCGAUUUGUAAACCAUGUUAACCACUUUUCAAAGCUUUUAAAAUCCCUUGUAAAUUAUUCUAUGCUACUUACUUACGCUUUAAAACGAUUUGUAAACCAUGUUAACCACUUUUCAAAGCUUUUAAAAUCCCUUGUAAAUUAUUCUAUGCUACUUACUUACGCUUUAAAACGAUUUGUAAACCAUGUUAACCACUUUUCAAAGCUUUUAAAAUCCCUUGUAAAUUGUUCUAUGCUACUUACUUACGCUUUAAAACGAUUUGUAAACCAUGUUAACCACUUUUCAAAGCUUUUAAAAUCUCUUGUAAAUUAUUCUAUGCUACUUACUUACGCUUUAAAACGAUUUGUAAACCUUGCUUUUCUCUGUAGUGACAGUGUUUUUGUGGGUGUUGAUUUUGUUGUUAA